ensembl:lncRNA
AGAGAGUCUCUAUUUGGAGAUCAUCCGUCUUGGAAUCCUUCUGUGAGUCCAGGAUACAGAAAAGUCCUUCUCAAUAACCCUGGAGUAUGUAAAGCAAUGUGUUGUACCUACUGUAAAAAUCUAAAUGAACAGAACUUUCAUGAAAAAGCCUUCUUCCUCAUCUGAUCAUCGGAUUGGGCCUCUCUGGCAAACUGAAUAUCAAAUCUUGAACUAUCUUUUCAGCUUCAAAGUUAAGUUCACAAUCUCAAACUGGGAAUAAUGAUGUGGCUCAGAACUUCAGUUUUCUGAGGAAAAAAAAAAUUAUUAAAUAUCCCUUUAACCCAUGCAAAGGCAAAAGUAGAAAUGACAACAAGACAAAAUGUUUAAUCUUACUUUCCUUGUAGCACCUUCUUAAAGUACUUAGCUUAACAUUCCUUAUUUCGUGCUGUCCGAUACUGUCCCUUCACAGAGUGCUCUUGCCAUUUAAAAGCACAUCACUGCCUGAUAUCUUCCCUGAUGUCUGUGUAGCAGCUAGUUACAUAACAUGAUAAAGAACACAAUUCCUAGUCCACUACUUCCUCUAAAUUAUUUGUAAUCACAGAAUGGCCUGGGUUGGAAGGGACCUCAAGGAUUAUCAAGCUCCAACCCCCCUGCUGGGCAGGGCCACCGACCUCCCCAUUUACUAGACCAGGUUGCCCAGGGCCUCAUCCAACCUGGCCUUGAACACCUCCAGGGAUAGGGCAUCCAGAACCUCUCUGAGCAGCCCGUUCCAGCACCUCACCACUCUCCUGGUAAAGAACUUCCUUCUAACAUCCAACCUAAAUCUUCCCUCUUUCAACUUAAAACCGUUCCCCCUUGUCCUGCUGUUAUCUACUCUUUGAAAGAGUUUACUCCCUUCCUGUUUAUAGGCUCCCUUCAGGUACUGAAAGCCUGCAAUGAAGUCACCCUGCAGCCUUCUCUUCUCCAGGCUGAAUAAGCCCAGCUCCCUCAGCCUGUCUUUGUAGGAGAGGUGCUCCAGCCCCCUGAUCAUCUUUGUGGCCCUUCUCUGGACCCUCUCCAACAGCUCUCUGUCUUUCUUGUACUGGGGGCUCCAUACCUGGACACAGUACUCCAGAUAUAGGUUUUUUGUCAGUGUGCAUUGUACUUUGCAAAUGUGCUUUCCACCUGCAUUUAUUGCAUGGUUUAGUCAUAGUCAGUAAAUAAUAAUUUUGGCAAGGCUUUAAGUAAUUUAAAUAAACUCAACAUCAGUGUUUGUAUUUGUUCUCUUCUAAUUUGUUUCUAAACAUUUUUGGUUUUCAUUCAGUUAAUCAAUUCAUGUUUUCCCUUCAUUUCUCCAGAAGAGAGCAUCCUCAUUCUUGACCUAAAUAUGCAGGAUUUUUUAAUGCUUAUUUACAUAGUUAUCUUCAUUGUUUAGAAGAGAGGUGCAGUGAUCUGUUUGGAUAUGUCCAUAAAUUUAGAUCAAUGUCUAACCCAAGAGCUUAAAAUGAAACUGUGAGCUCUCAAAGCCUUGGGCAUCUUAUGAAAUUCAAGUGCUAGUACGCUUAAUGAAAUAUUGAAAAGAAAGUUAAAAAUGAGAAAUACUUGUUUUGUCUUUACAGUUUACCACUCUUAUACCAUUAUUAGGAGCACUGGUUAAAUAUUACACAAUAAAAAUUGAAUUAAUUUUUAUGUAUUUAUAUGAAGACAAAGCAUUACAUAUAACUAUAAUAAAAUCACAAUGCAGAUGUAAUAUGCUCACUGUAAAACACGUACACCUAAUUACUUAUAUUGACAAACUUAGAACUUAAAAAGCAGUACUGUUGAACAUCAAAUUAUGUAUUUACGGAGCUAAAUAUCAGUUAAUUUUAUUUUUAGCUCUAUAUACGCUGAUUAACUAUGACUUACAUUACAGUUCACUUGACUUAGUUCUCACUAUACACAAGUGGUAAGUUUGGUGAUAGUGCAUACGUUCCCUAACACUUGGCCUAUAUGGGACUAAUUCUUAAAAAUCACAAAAUUAUCAAGCUUGGAAAGGACCCUGAGAGCAUUUCAUUUAACUUCCCACUCACAGUAUGGUCAGUGCAUAUUUCAGACCAGCUUCCUUCAGACUUUGUGCAGCUGUAUCUUGAAAACUUUCAACAGGUCCUAUAACCGCUCUGGGUAACCUGCUAUAGUGCUGAGCUACUCUACAGUGAUUUUUGCCCCCUUUUAUCAGAUUGAAACCUCCCAUUUCAAUUUGGCAUCAUUGUCUCCUAGUGUCUCACAGUGAAAUUCUUUAAUGAUACUGGCUCUACCAUCUUAAUCUCUUUGUCAGCAAUAGGAGACUGAUGUCAAGCCUUUCCAGAAAAGCUUGUUUCUCAGCCUCUCCUCAAAGGGCAAGUCAUUCAGCCCCCUAGCUGCCUUGAAAUGUAGCACUUGUCACAGUUUAUCAUGUAUGGAUCAAGAAUUUCCAGAAGAGAUCCCUCUUUUGAUCAAUUUCCACUAGUGGUAGCUCCCUUUCUGGAACAAUGUUUCUAGGUACAAAAUCCUGAAAGAUCGUGUUGGAGACUAUACAAAGAAGGCUUUGAGUACCUCAGCUUUAAGUGUAUCUACUCAUUAAAUCAUAAGCCCCUCUGAACAACAGGCCAUUUUUUCUUUGUUUACUAUUAAUCCACUAAUAUACAUGUAGAAAAACUUGCUGCUCUUGAUGUUCCUCACUGGUUUUAAUUCUAGCUUUGCUUUGACUUUUCUAAUAUCAUCCCAGUCUAAUAAAGAGAUUCCUUUGGGGCAGACUUUGAAUUAUGUAGUACAUUGGUUGGGAGAAUCCCUUGGGAGUCAGUCCUGAAGGACAAAGGGUGCAUGAAGGCUGGUCAUUUCUGAAGAAGGUAACAUGCUGUCUCUGUGUGCCAUAAAAUGAGUCAGCAGGGAAGAAGAUGAGCAUGGUUGAACAGGAAGAUUUUGCUGGGGGGAAAGAAAAAAAAAAAAAGAGUUGCUGUGGAUGGAUGACUGACCCAGGGAGGUCAUGUUUAUCUCCCCCUGGGUCAGUGCGAGCAAAACAGCUGCUAUGGAUCACUGUCUCGCACAGAACAACAAUGGGAGUAGGCGAAAGGAAUGCGGAGCUGUGAUAGAGACCGCUGUGCCAGGUGCUGUGAGACAAGCUGCAAGCAACUGCAAGUUGUGAGAACUGUGCCUUGUUGUACUUAGCAUGUUAUUUGUACUGCUCUAUAUAAAUGUCUGUGUGUAGUUAUUAAAUGGCUUGGCUACUAG